rnacentral:rRNA from 1 species
GAUUAACGCUGGCGGCGUGCAUAACACAUGCAAGUAGAACGAUGAAACUUAAAUGAUUUCUUCGGAAUGAACUUAAGUGACUUAGUGGCGGACGGGUGAGUAACGCGUGAGUAACCUGCCUUAAACAAGGGGAUAGCCGUUGGAAACGACGAAUAAUACCAUAUGAAACUAUCACUUCGCAUGAAGCGAAAGUCAAAGUGUAAGCGGUGUAAGAUGGACUUGCGUCUGAUUAGCUAGUUGGUGAGAAAAAAGCCCACCAAGGCAACGAUCAGUAGCCGGCUUGUGAGAGUGUACGGCCACACUUGCACUGAGACACGGCCCAGACUCCUACGGGAUGCAGCAGUGGCGAAUUGUGCACAGUGGGGGAAAUCCUGAUGCAUCUACGCCGCGAGAUUUAUAAGGCCAUCGGGGUGUGAGAAUCUUUUGUAUAGGAAGAAAAUGACAGUGCUAUACGAAUAAGGUCCGGCUAAUUACGUG